UUUUUGUCUUUGAGCUAUAGAAACUGUGUUAAAUCGUGCUGGACCAACAAAUAGUGUAUCGGUAAAAUGUAACAUGGGGCUUAAUAUUUACGUUCAUUAGCGAAUUAGUCGAAGAAACGCCCCUGAAACACGUCUUCGGAGGCACUACCAAUCGUUUAUACGUCACGGCUCCUGUACUGAUCCUAGGAGAAAUCAUGGAAAGAUAUGAAUGAAAUAAUUAUUGACGCUCAUCGGUGGCUGCGGUAGCAACACUACAGCGGUUCGUAAGCUAGCAAUCGUCCCUCAGGUAACUCAAUGAUGAGUGACCAAUACCACUUAUUCCAUCCAAACUACGUGGUUAAAUUUACAAUCCGCGAAUUAAUUACGAAGUGGCUUAUAAAUAUUAUAAUCAUUUACGCCUAAUCUGAUUAAAACUGAAAAAUUCUACGUGUAUUCCAUCAAACCGCCUCUCCAUGGGUCCAGUCCAGUCCAACCCACGAAUAGGACUGUGACUUUUUUUUAAGAAAACUCAGCGGAAACCAUUAAAUAUUGGCGAUUUGCAUUGAUGAUAACUCGGCUAUUAAUUGAAGCUGCUAACAUUAUUGUUUGGAGGCAGAAAUACGAAGCUAGCUGCUUAGUAUCAUCGAAUAAUGACUCAGGUCACCGUACCGCCUAAAUAACGAUCAGGUACAGAGCACUUUGUGUAAAUACUAUUAUGAGCAAAAUAUAGAAAGUUUAUUAACAUAAGCAUAAAGUAAAGUUUAAAAUAACCAUGAAAAGAGUUACAAUUGGCGACUUUUUCUUUGAUUCAAGCGAUCCCUUCUAGGCAACCUUGCAGGGAGAAAGCUUGUAGCCUUGUAAGGUGGCCAGGAGCUUAGGAGUCCUCAGGAUUAGGUACCACCACCUUGAUAAUUUCUGCUGCGAAAACAGUAUUAGCGUUCUAGUUUGAAGAGUGGGUCAGCCGUUGUACUAUAGAUCUGAGACUUAGAACACAUGUCUCAAGGUGGGUGGCGGUAUUUACGUUGCAUAUGUCUAUGGACACCUGGGAUCAGUUAACACUAGGUGGGCCGUAAGCUCGUUCAUCCGUUUAAGCAAUAACAAAAAAAACAGAAGUUGUUUGAAAGAUUCCUAUGUUUUAGUUUUAUUGAAAUAUAAAUUAAUACGUUUGAAAAGAGAUCGAAAAUUCAUAACUCGCCAUACUUACAUGAUUUCAAUGCAUUAGUAUUCUUACAAUUGCUUAGCUUACAAUUUUAGAAUUACCUUUGAGAAAAUUAGAGAUACGCUUUGUUUAAUCUUAGGCUUUGUUGAAGUACAGACAAAAUCUAAUAAAAUAAGCACAAGAAUGACCAAAUAUCGAAAUAUCAUCCUGAUAAGGAAAACACGUAAAUAAUGUAUUACUCUCAAGUGUAUUUCACGAAGUUAGGUACGUAUUUCAUGUCGCAGUGGAAAAUUUAAAGAAAACUGUUUUUCAUUGGAUGGUUGUCUGACUUUUUCUAUGCAAAAAUUUACGGUUCAUGGUGCUAAGAUUAUAUAGUUUAAACAUUCUUUUAAAUGUAUUCGUUGGCUUGGAUAUUAGUCAAGGUGCUUCUUAGAUGUGAUUUUUCAUGUACGCUGUGAAAAUAAAGUAUUUGAAUUUCUUUUGUUGAUUUUCUAAGAAUCUUGUUGAGUACUAGUUUUUGUAAUUUCAUACUAUUUUCUAUUAAAAUUACGAAUUUUAUUAAUAGAAACAAGGACGUUAAAUAUAUUUUUAGUUAAGUUAUUAAGUUUUAGUGUACAUAAUUUUAUUACACUGUUAGUGCCGAAGAAUUUCGGCGUCGUCUCUUGAUUUAAAUAGAAAUAUAGUGAUAUUAUAUUAACCAUCAUUCGUUGAUACAUACAUUAAAUUUAAUGAAGCUAUUAAGAAAUUAAAGUAAUUUUUAAACCAUAUAAUGUCGGUCAUACAUCUGUUUUAUUAGCUUAAACAAAAAAUAGUACCGUUGGACAUGCCUGUUUUCAUUUGUCUUUGUAGAUUUUUUGAUUGUUAAAGCAUUUUUCUAGAUUUAUUCACACAAGAUAAACUAAAUUAAGUUUAAUUAAAUUAAAUAGAUUAUAA